rnacentral:rRNA from 1 species
UGGGGAAUAUUGCACAGUGGGCGCAAGCCUGAUGCAGCCAUGCCGCGUGUGUGAAGAAGGCCUUCGGGUUGUAAAGCACUUUCAGCGGGGAGGAAGGCGGUGAGGUUAAUAACCUCAUCGAUUGACGUUACCCGCAGAAGAAGCACCGGCUAACUCCGUGCCAGCAGCCGCGGUAAUACGGAGGGUGCAAGCGUUAAUCGGAAUUACUGGGCGUAAAGCGCACGCAGGCGGUUUGUUAAGUCAGAUGUGAAAUCCUCGGGCUCAACCUGGGAACUGCAUCUGAUACUGGCAAGCUUGAGUCUCGUAGAGGGGGGUAGAAUUCCAGGUGUAGCGGUGAAAUGCGUAGAGAUCUGGAGGAAUACCGGUGGCGAAGGCGGCCCCCUGGACGAAGACUGACGCUCAGGUGCGAAAGCGUGGGGAGCAAACAGG